CGUCAGGUAGCUCAGUGGUUUAGAGAAGUCGCUCGGCAAGCGAAAGACCCGGGUACGACCCCGGUCUAGCAA
rnacentral:tRNA from 1 species